CAAGCUAAAAGCGCAUUAGCCGACAGUAAGUGGAGGCAGUGGUUCUCAAACUGUGCCAUCGCACACACUGGUGUAACAAGUGUGUAUGGAGUCAUAUAUUUGUAAAGGUCUAUCAGGGAUAUUCUUCCUUUAAUGAAUGGUGUACCUUCUCACAAAGUCAUUCUUCACUGAUUGACCGGGACUGUAAGUUGUUGUUACACGUGGGUUCUCGAGCCCCGGAGCACGAUAUCUGCGCCUUGCAACACCCAAGCAAAGAAACUACAGGCCCUGUCCUCGGUUUUGGACUGCUGGGACCCUAGGAGAUCCUUCCAGAUCGAGAUGGCAAGGCUGGAGCCCACCCCUGGACUACCUGACAGGGACCAAACUGGUGGUAGUUGUGGUUGAAGUGGUUGAGGGGGACAUCACAAUGCUGGCACUUGAAAGCAGCAGAACAGCAUGCCACUGAGGGAAACCAAGAGAAAGGGUGAAUGCUUGGAAUAUGACAGUCUCACAGUCUCCAGUCAUAAACCUCAAAUUCUUUGUCUGAAACUGACAUUUUGAGCUGUCCCUGGUGCAACAAACAAAAAGGUCCACAGAGGAGGAACCAAUAAAUCAAUCCAUUCUUCCCUCAGGCUAUUUGACCACUCGAGGUGUAAAAACCUCC